rnacentral:rRNA from 1 species
UACAGAGGCUGCAAGCGUUAUUCGGAUUCACUGGGCGUAAAGGGUGCGCAGGCGGCCAAGUGUGUGAGGCGUGAAAGCCUGGGGCUUAACUCCAGAAUUGCACCUCAAACUACAUGGCUAGAGCAUUGGAGAGGGUAGCAGAAUUCACGGUGUAGCAGUGAAAUGCGUAGAUAUCGUGAGGAAUACCAGAGGCGAAGGCGGCUACCUGGACAAUUGCUGACGCUCAGGCACGAAAGCGUGGGGAGCAAAAGGG